UACGUAGGUGGCAAGCGUUGUCCGGAUUUACUGGGCGUAAAGAGCGCGCAGGCGGCCAAGUCAGUCGAAUGUGAAAGCCCCCGGCUCAACUGGGGAGAGUCAUUCGAUACUGCUUGGCUGGAAGAUAGGAGAGGGAAGCGGAAUUUCAGGUGUAGUGGUGAAAUGCGUAGAUAUCUGAAGGAACCCCAGUGGCGAAGGCGGCUUUCUGGCCUAUUCUUGACGAUGAGGCGCGAAAGCUAGGGGAGCGAACGGG
rnacentral:rRNA from 1 species